rnacentral:miRNA from 1 species
UUCAGCAAAACUUCAUGGCUUUCAUCAGGAUCUUAACAGCUCAAAAAAAAGCUGUUAAGAUCCUGAUGAAAGCCAUGAAGUUUGGCUGA